GGUGCUAUCGUCUAGCGGAAAGGAUACCUCCCUGUCACGGAGGAGACCGGAGUUCGAUUCUCCGUAGCACCGCCA
rnacentral:tRNA from 1 species